AGUCCCUCCCCAGCCCAGCAGUCCCUCCAGGCUACAUCCAGGAGACUUAAACAGGCACAAUCAAAACCAUCUCAGUCAGAAGUCAGAGCGUGGUACCUGGGAGAGAACCCCGAGGGGCAUCUGGAGUGUUGGGGCCAUGUUGGUGAUAUGGACGUACUUCACUUGUGAAAAUUCUCACCAAAAUGUUCACAAGUUCUUUUGAAGGAGAGGGGAUGUGGGGAGGGAGAAGAGGUUAUAUGAGAUUGUCUUUAAUGUUUUGUACUUUUUGCAUUUUUAAGCUUUUUGACAAUGAACAUGUAUUUUAUAAUCAGAGAAAAAUGCUGAUUUUUAUAAAGUGCCAUUAUUAUGAUUA
rnacentral:antisense_RNA from 1 species